rnacentral:rRNA from 1 species
UACGUAGGGACCGAGCGUUGUCCGGAUUCAUUGGGCGUAAAGAGCUCGUAGGCGGUGUGUCGCGUCGGCCGUGAAAACCUGCAGCUUAACUGUGGGCUUGCGGUCGAUACGGGCAUCACUGGAGUUCGGCAGGGGAGACUGGAAUUCCUGGUGUAGCGGUGAAAUGCGUAGAUAUCAUUUGGAACGCCAAUGGUGAAAACAGGUAGCUGGGAGUGUGCUGACGCUGAGACACGAAAGCCAGGGGAGCGAACGGG